UACGGAGGGGGCGAGCGUUAUUCGGAAUUAUUGGGCGUAAAGGGCGCGUAGGCGGCCCGGUAAGUCAAAGGUGAAAUCCCUCGGCUUAACCGAGGAACUGCCCUCCAAACUGUUUGGCUUGAGACCGGGAGAGGUGAGUGGAAUUCCCAGUGUAGCGGUGAAAUGCGUAGAUAUUGGGAGGAACACCAGUGGCGAAGGCGGCUCACUGGACCGGUACUGACGCUGAGGCGCGAAAGCGUGGGGAGCAAACGGG
rnacentral:rRNA from 1 species